rnacentral:rRNA from 1 species
UCGGGAAUUUUGGGCAAUGGGCGAAAGCCUGACCCAGCAACGCCGCGUGAAGGAUGAAGUAUUUCGGUAUGUAAACUUCGAAAGAAUAGGAAGAAUAAAUGACGGUACUAUUUAUAAGGUCCGGCUAACUACGUGCCAGCAGCCGCGGUAAUACGUAGGGACCAAGCGUUGUUCGGAUUUACUGGGCGUAAAGGGCGCGUAGGCGGCAAUUCAAGUCAUCUGUGAAAUCUCCGGGCUUAACUCGAAACGGUCAGAUGAUACUGCUUUGCUAGAGUGCAGAAGGGGCAAUCGGAAUUCUUGGUGUAGCGGUGAAAUGCGUAGAUAUCAAGAGGAACACCUGAGGUGAAGACGGGUUGCUGGGCUGACACUGACGCUGAGGCGCGAAAGCCAGGGGAGCAAACGGGAUUAGAUACCCGCGUAGUCCCUGAGCGGGCUGGCAAGGCGCAU